rnacentral:rRNA from 1 species
UAUCAAUAAGCGGAGGAAAAGAAACCAACAGGGAUUGCCCCAGUAACGGCGAGUGAAGCGGCAGCAGCUCAAAUUUGAAAUCUGGCCCCCAGGGCCCGAGUUGUAAUUUGCAGAGGAUGCUUUCGGCGCGGCGCCUUCCGAGUUCCCUGGAACGGGACGCCACAGAGGGUGAGAGCCCCGUCUGGUCGGACGCCAAGCCGGUGUAAAGCUCCUUCGACGAGUCGAGUAGUUUGGGAAUGCUGCUCUAAACGGGAGGUAUAUGUCUUCUAAAGCUAAAUACCGGCCAGAGACCGAUAGCGCACAAGUAGAGUGAUCGAAAGAUGAAAAGCACUUUGAAAAGAGGGUUAAACAGUACGUGAAAUUGUUGAAAGGGAAGCGCUCGUGACCAGACUUGGGCGCGGUGGAUCAUCCAGCGUUCUCGCUGGUGCACUCCGCCGGGCCCAGGCCAGCAUCAGCUCGCCGCGGGGGACAAAGGCCGCGGGAACGUGGCUCCCCAGGGAGUGUUAUAGCCCGUUGCGCAAUGCCCCGCGGCGGACUGAGGUUCGCGCUCCGCAAGGAUGCUGGCGUAAUGGUCAUCAGCGACCCGUCUUGAAACACGGACCAAGGAGUCGUCUUCGUAUGCGAGUGUUCGGGUGUCAAGCCCCUACGCGGAAUGAAAGUGAACGCAGGUGAGAGCCUCGGCGCAUCAUCGACCGAUCCUGAUGUUCUCGGAUGGAUUUGAGUAAGAGCAUACGGGGCCGGACCCGAAAGAAGGUGAACUAUGCCUGUGUAGGGUGAAGCCAGAGGAAACUCUGGUGGAGGCUCGCAGCGGUUCUGACGUGCAAAUCGAUCGUCAAACAUGGGCAUGGGGGCGAAAGACUAAUCGAACCUUCUAGUAGCUGGUUUC